rnacentral:rRNA from 1 species
AUGGGUAUGUCUCCAUAUAAAAUGGUUUAUGGAAAAGCAUGUCACUUACCCCUUGAACUAGAACAUAAAGCUUAUUGGGCAAUUAAAGAGCUCAACUAUGAUUUCAAACUUGCCGGUGAAAAGAGGUUAUUUGACAUAGGCUCACUUGAUGAAUGGAGAACCCAACCCUAUGAGAAUGCUAAGUUGUUUAAAGAAAAAGAUAAAAGAUGGCAUGACAAAAGGAUACAAAAGCAUGAAUUCAAUGUAGGUGACCUUGUCUUGCUAUACAACUCUCGUUUAAGAUUUUUUGCAGGAAAGCUUCUCUCUAAAUGGGAAGGUCCUUAUAUUAUCGAGGAGGUUUACCGCUCCGGUGCCAUAAAAAUUAACAACGCUGAAGGCACCAACCCGAAGGUGGUAAACGGGCAAAGAAUCAAACAUUAUAUUUCAGGUACUCCCAUAAAUGUUGAAACCAAUAUUAUUAACACCAUAACACCGGAGGAGUACAUAAGGGAGACUCUCCAGAAUGUUUCAGACUCCGAAAAGGUAUAG